AAAAUAGAAGAGAAUGAUGUUCUUUAUUGCACGAAACCGCCCUGCUCUGAAUGUCAGAACUAUAUACAGUUUGUGGGCAUAAAGAAAAUUGUUUCCGUUCAAGAAUCAUCACAAUCAUCAUCAAACCAACAAGACUCCACAGAUUCUUUAAAGAGCAACUUUGAAUAUUAUCAGUGGAAACCUCAAUAUGCGGAAUGUUCUGCUUCCCCCCUCAGUAAACAAACAGAGAAUUCAGAAAAAAGAGAUGGAGAAGAAACAGAAAGAAAGAAUGAUAAAG